GAGCCAGACUCCUACGGGAGGCAGCAGUGGGGAAUAUUGGGCAAUGGGCGCAAGCCUGACCCAGCAACGCCGCGUGAAGGAAGAAGGCUUUCGGGUUGUAAACUUCUUUUAAGAGGGACGAAACAAAUGACGGUACCUCUUGAAUAAGCCACGGCUAACUACGUGCCAGCAGCCGCGGUAAUACGUAGGUGGCAAGCGUUAUCCGGAUUUAUUGGGUUUAAAGGGUGCGUAGGCGGUUUUUUAAGUUAGUGGUUAAACGUCGGGGCUUCACCUUGAUUUGCCAUUAAUACUGUAAGACUCGAGUUCAGACGAGGUAGGCGGAAUAAGUUAAGUAGCGGUGAAAUGCUUAGAUAUAACUUAGAACUCCGAUAGCGAAGGCAGCUUACCAGACUGCGACUGACGCUGAAGCACGAGAGCGUGGGUAGCGAACAGGAUUAGAUACCCCGGUAC
rnacentral:rRNA from 1 species